ACGGAAGGCAGCAGUGAGGAAUAUUGGUCAAUGGGCGGAAGCCUGAACCAGCCAAGUCGCGUGAAGGAUGGAGGUAUUAUGUAUUGUAAACUUCUUUAGACGUAGAGAAAUAAGGAGGUCGAGACCUCUGAUGCUAGUAUACGUAGAAUAAGGAUCGGCUAACUCCGUGCCAGCAGCCGCGGUAAUACGGAGGAUCCGAGCGUUAUCCGGAUUUAUUGGGUUUAAAGGGUGCGCAGGCGGUCUUUUAAGUCAGUGGUUAAAUCGUGGAGCUUAACUCCAUCCCGCCAUUGAUACUGGAGGACUUGAUUGCGGUUGAGGUUGGCGGAAUUCGCCGUGUAGCGGUGAAAUGCAUAGAUAUGGCGAAGAACUCCGAUUGCGUAGGCAGCUGACCAAGCCGUAAAUGACGCUCAUGCACAAAAGUGCGGGGAUCGAACAGAAUUAGAUACCCUGGUA
rnacentral:rRNA from 1 species